CCCCAGAUGUUGCUGAACUACAACUCCCAUGAUUCUCUGGCUAUCUAUGUAAUUCAAAGAAUCAUGGGAGUUGUAGUUCAGCAACAUUUGGGGGGCUGGAGUUUGAGGACCCAUGGUGUAGAUACAUACAUGCAGACACGGAUACAACCACUGACAACACUGAAAUUCAUGCAGCUGCACUGGCACACAUACGGUUACAGACAUGCAUGUAAAUAUAGACAAUGAUACACAUGGAAAUAGACACACAAAAACACUUCCCAAAUGUAAAGAUUUUUUUUUUUUAAUCUGGCCUGAGACAAAUGUUUACAAAAAUGGCACCAAACCAGGACUAACAUCUAUGCAUGUCACCAGUGCUAUAUUAUUUAAAGGGCUUAGAGUCACCAAAACAACUUAAGCUUAAUAAAGCAGUAUUGGUGUGUAUAGUUCAUGCCUCUGAAGUUUCACUCUUCAAUUAUCUGCCAUUUAGGAGUUCACUUUUGUUUCUAUUUUUGCAGCCCUAGUCACGCCUCUCCUGACACAACCUACAUAAAAACUAAAUGGGUUUUCAAUUAGUGAUCUCCCACUCUGUAAAUUGAGCUUUAAUUACAUACAGAAGGCUGCUGCAGGGUCUAACAAGCUAUUAACAGUGUAGAAAGAAAUUCUAAAUUAAACAAUUUGCCAUAAAAUAAGUGUAAAUGCUAGAGUACUCUUUACAACAAGCAAGACAAACUCGCGGCCUGGCGAGCCACGAGUAUAUGCUUAGUGUUCCAAGCACAGUAGGCACCUGCUUUCUCCACAUUUCAGGUGCCUACUUUGCUAACAUUUACCCGGCUGGGGAGGAGAGGAGAGGAAGGUGGAUGCAGCGAGGGAGCUCAGCGUUCCUGCUAUUCACUGCUCAUUCGUGCCCUCUGUAGUGAUGCUGGACAUCACUAAACUGCGUGCGAGGGAGCAGUGAGGAGCAGGAAGGCUGAGCUCCAGAUUAGUCCCCACUGGACCCCAGGGAUAAAUACAAUAAUGUGAGUGUGUGUUGAUCAGUGUUGCGAUGGUCGUGGCUGGACAGUGGAGGUUCACGGAGGCACGCAGCGCCACGUCACAUUCCAACGUGACAAUGUGAUACACAUUCACAGGGUUUCAAGAAGUAGUGUGAGGAUCUUCUUUGGCACACGGUGUGGACGGCGCCAUUUGGGGUAUACCAUAGGCCAGAUCUAUAAAACAAAACUGCUUCAUUAAGUUCGUUAUUUUGGUAAUUAUAGUGUCCCUUUAAAAUCAGAAAAAAAAGUGUGCUGUGCCUUUAAAUCAUGAAUUCAAUUUUGUAUAAUCAAUUUACAAAUAAA